rnacentral:rRNA from 1 species
UGGCGAGAAGGUCACACCCGUUCCCAUCCCGAACACGGUAGUUAAGCUUCUCUGCGCCAAUGGUAGUUGGGGGCUUCCCCCUGCGAGAGUAGGUCGCUGCCGGGC